CCCUCACUGCUGCCUGCUUUUCUUCACCCUUUUCUCUUCGCUUACCGCCUGCCGCGUUGGCGCGGGUCUUUAACGGUUUUCUGCUCUGCGCCCCGGGCAGCAGCAUCGAUGACGACACUGCACGGCCAAAAUAAGGUUACACGCACACAAGGAACCUCACGAGACCCGUCUCACUGCACGGCAGCGGGCAACAUCGAAUCUGUGCCUGAGAGCACCAUUGCACACGAACGUAGAAGCGGCGUUGCCGCUUUUUUUUUGGCAGCGAGCAGCACGUCAUUGGGAGCCACACCGGUCGCUGACGCUCGAGGAAAAGUCGUUUGUCGCGUCUGCGUGUACGCGCGCGUGCAACAAAGCCUUGCCGGGAGCGUGUGCGUCAAAGUGGCUGCACCAUUCUCAUCCUGCCUCUGCGCACCGCCGGAGGCCGGAAGAGGUGAAGAAGCGAGCGCACGGAAUCACAACGUGCGCGUGUUUUCCUCAUGUCCUUCUCCCCCCCCUGCACGCAGGUACCGCUUCUCCUCCCUGAGGAACUCCGUGACGAAGUGGUGAGUGGAGCGGCGGAGAUCAUCGUGGAGCGCGGCAGUCGCAACCGCUGCUUCUUGCACGUCUACAGUGAAGAGGAGCGACUUGCCAAGGUCGAGGACAUCGCGGACCCGGAUGAUGUGGUGCGGCACGCGCAUGAAAAGCACCUGAGUGAGCUACGCUGGGCACGAGGCGUGCUGUGGGCCGACUCGCGCGUUCAGCGCUUUGUGCGGUACGCGGACCAUAUCUUAUGGCCGGCGUACGAGUCUCUCAGUAAAGUCGUCAACGUGGUGCGCCAGCUGAUUCUCUGCGAGGAAGGCGACAACGCAACGGCGCUGAAGAGAGCGCGCGACGUCGCCGUUGCGAACGGCAUCCUUCGACGCGAGGCCACGCUACCUGGUCUGCACCCCCUCAAAGAGACGAGGAUGGAAGGCCAGGCGAUCCUGUACGACGUGCAGCAAGUGCGGAAGCGCAGCCGUGACGCGUGGGCGGCGACGAUGCCGUCGGUGCUCUUGCGCGUCGACGAGGAGCCCGUUGACUCUGUCGCUUGGAUUGCCGAGGUAAAGCAGGCAUCGCACACCGUCUCGGACAUCCUGCAGCUUCAGCUUGCCACCACGCCGCUGACGCGGCUCGUCGAGCUGCUGUCGCAGCCGCGGAGCUCUCCGGCUGCUGCCGAUUCCGCCUCGACCGCAUCUGCGGCAAGGCAGCAGUGGCGAUGUCUGCUCGAGAAGCAUCGACAAUGGGCCGAGUACCACUCGCUCUUCGCGGAUGUAGAGGAGGCUUGUCGGGGGUGGGGGGCUUCGGAGGCGUGCGUGGCGCGCGACGUGCACGCGGCUUUGACAAGCGGUUCCAGCGUACAGCUACGCACGGGGGUUCACGCGAGCGUGCUACAGAGACUGGAACUGCAUAUCCUGCUCAGCCCUCGCUUUCGCAAGCUUGACAGUUUCGCGGCGGCGGAGCAGGCCGCCUUUUCAGCCCACUGCCCCGCCCGCUCUUGGCGUGAGUGUGUGGAGGAGGGUAUGGUGCGCGUGGUGGUGCUGCCUCCCACCGGACUCACUCCAGCGAAGCUUGACACGCUCGUCCGACAGCAUUUCCUGACCCCUGCGCUUUGCGAUGUGCCCCUUGCAGAAUGCUGCACGGUGAGCGAGGCUCGCAGCAUCACCGCUGACCUACAGGUGGUUCACGUGACGUCCACCUUCAACCCAUUCGUGGUGGUGCACGGCAGCCGCGUAUCAAGCGGUUUUGCCGGUGAUGUGCCAUAUUUUCGUUCCCUGCAGCAUGAGCGCGACCGUCUCGUCACGGAUCGCACCGAUGCGCAGCUCCGGCAAGGCCUCCACGAGGCACCGUCGCGCGGCAUCAGUGGCGCUGCCAACGACUUCGUGAGCCUUCCGUCGUCGUCGCAGCCGCCGCAGAGAGCACCGUUGAGGAUAACUGGCGAUGCAGCAAUAGCCGCCUUCCACCGAGCCCUCAUCUCGGCGCUGGCCGUGAGCCCUCUCACGCGGGCGGAGAUACAGCACCACCCGGCGAUGCGAGAGUACAGGGACGCGGCCAAUUACGAGGCCGUUCUCAAGGUGGCACUCAAGGAGCAUGCAGAGUUCAAGGGGCGAAAGUACCAGUUGCGCAACUGAGGUGAUGCCGAAAUCGCGGUGGACGGGCUAGUGCCCAGAGGUGGUGGUGACGCUGAUGGGUGCUAGGAGGUGCCCAGCUCUGCCGCCGUGGCUGCUUUCCUUCCUGAGACUUUCACGCCUGUGCAGGCAUAGGCAAGCAGGCCGGCACGCGUCGGAACCAUCGGGUAAAGGACACGCGUGCAUCACAGCACACCGCGUACUCACAGAAUUGAUUCCUUUCAUGCUGUCCAUUCUCUGUCACGGUGCAUCGGAGCUUAGCUGCACUCCACGCUAUGCCGGGCCCUGUCACGGGCACAUCGCGUGGUGCCAAGCAGCCCUGCACACACACGCCCUACAGCAACGCGCCGGCUCAGCCAUCCGAGCACGGCCCCUGCCUCAUACUCCACACCACCGCCGCGCUCUGCAGGUCGCCGCACACCCGCACCCGUCACGCCGGCGCCCACCUGCUGUGCAUCCCCGUAGGGGUGGCACACAGGCCCCCUCCCCCCGCACCAGCAACGGCAGUCGGGGCCGGGUGCAAUGCGUUCCAGCCACGCCGACACCCUGCCUACCACAUGGACGGCACAAGCGUGUUCGCUGUCGCGGGCCACCCCGACGCAACGCCACCCAGGGCCCCACCGCCGACACAUCAGUGUGGCCAUGCAUCGCACAGACCCCCCCCCCCCCCUGCCACGUCGUAGGCACUCUCGGCCCUUGUCACCACGAGAAGUGGGGCUCCGGCGCUGGCAGGGGAUAGGAGGGGGCGGGGGAGAGGGAGCCGCCUGGGCAUACACCGCAUACGGUGUGGGGUGUGCUGGGCGCUGAGGUACCACGCAGAGUGAGGGGUGUCCCUCUGGUCUGCAGGGCAUUCGCAAAGGGCAGUAAGAAAGCAAACCGAUGGAAAAAGACUAUCCUUUGGUGCACGAACGUACGUUGCUGGGUUCCGUCUUCGCGAAGGUGUUCGAGGCUUACAUAAUGGAAAGUAUGACUCCUUCUCGGCC
rnacentral:misc_RNA from 1 species